rnacentral:rRNA from 1 species
AUUGAACGCUGGCGGCAGGCCUAACACAUGCAAGUCGAACGAGUGGCGGACGGGUGAGUAAUGUCUGGGAAACUGCCCGAUGGAGGGGUAUAACUACUGGAAACGUUCGCUAAUACCGCAUACCAUCGGAUGUGCCCAGAGGGGAUUAGCUAGUCGGUGGGGUAACGGCUCACCUAGGCGACGCUCCCUAGCUGGUCUGCGAGGAUGACCAGCAACACUGGAACUGAGACAAGGUCCAGACGCCUACGGGAGGCAGCAGUGGGGAAUAUUGCACAAGGGGCGCAAGCCUGAUGCAGCCAUGCCGCGUGUAUGAAGAAGGCCUUCGGGUUGUAAAGUACUGUCAGCGAGGAGGCGUUACUCGCAGAAGAAGCACCGGCUAACUCCGUGCCAGCAGCCGCGGUAAUUC